AUUCUGCACUUAGUAGCGAACGGGUGAGUAACACGUGGGUUACCUACCUCUAAGUUGGGGACAACAGUUGGAAACGACUGCUAAUACCGAAUGUGAUAGUAAUAUUAAAGGAGCCUUUAAAGCUUCGCUUAGAGAUGGGCCUGCGACGUAUUAGCUUGUUGGUGGGGUAAUGGCCUACCAAGGCAACGAUGCGUAGCCGGACUGAGAGGUUGAACGGCCACACUGGGACUGAGACACGGCCCAGACUCCUACGGGAGGCAGCAG
rnacentral:rRNA from 1 species